ACUCAUCACCAUCUCCAGCAAUGCUCAGAAAUUGAUGUUUGCCUCAAACUGCUUCUUGAACAUUUCAUACCCAGGAGUGCAAAGUGCAAGGCUAGAGUUUGUGCAAAGCAGGUUUCUUUUAAAAUGGAACCCAGAGAAGGAAGUGGAGAAGACCAGAGGAAUCAGAGAAUAAUCGGAAGUGGAGAAGACCAGAUCAAUGAAGACCACAUUAAGAUCUGCGGAGGAAACCGGAGAGCCCAGGGAAAACCAACGCAAACACGGGGAGAGCAUGCAAACUCCACACAGAAAUGCAGACUUGGCCAGGUAAGAUCUGAGCCAGUGAGAUUCUUGCUGUGAGGCAAUAAUCCU